UACGUAGGGUGCAAGCGUUAAUCGGAAUUACUGGGCGUAAAGCGUGCGCAGGCGGUUCGGAAAGAAAGAUGUGAAAUCCCCGGGCUUAACCUGGGAACUGCGUUUGAAACUACAAGGCUAGAGUGUGGCAGAGGGGGGUGGAAUUCCACGUGUAGCAGUGAAAUGCGUAGAGAUGUGGAGGAACACCGAUGGCGAAGGCAGCCCCCUGGGUUAACACUGACGCUCAGGCACGAAAGCGUGGGGAGCAAACAGG
rnacentral:rRNA from 1 species